UGAUGGGACUGUAUUCUUUUGGU
rnacentral:piRNA from 1 species